rnacentral:rRNA from 1 species
UACGAAGGGGGCUAGCGUUGCUCGGAAUCACUGGGCGUAAAGCGCACGUAGGCGGAUUGCUAAGUCAGGGGUGAAAUCCUGGAGCUCAACUCCAGAACUGCCUUUGAUACUGGCGAUCUUGAGUCCGGGAGAGGUGAGUGGAACUCCGAGCGUAGAGGUGAAAUUCGUAGAUAUUCGGAAGAACACCAGUGGCGAAGGCGGCUCACUGGCCCGGUACUGACGCGUGAUGGUGCGAAAAGCGUGGGGAGCAAACAGG